CAUGCAAGUCGAGCGGCAGCACGGGUACUUGUACCUGGUGGCGAGCGGCGGACGGGUGAGUAAUGCCUAGGAAUCUGCCUGGUAGUGGGGGAUAACGCUCGGAAACGGACGCUAAUACCGCAUACGCCCUACGGGAGAAAGCAGGGGACCUUCGGGCCUUGCGCUAUCAGAUGAGCCUAGGUCGGAUUAGCUAGUUGGUGAGGUAAUGGCUCACCAAGGCGACGAUCCGUAACUGGUCUGAGAGGAUGAUCAGUCACACUGGAACUGAGACACGGUCCAGACUCCUACGGGAGGCAGCAGUGGGGAAUAUUGGACAAUGGGCGAAAGCCUGAUCCAGCCAUGCCGCGUGUGUGAAGAAGGUCUUCGGAUUGUAAAGCACUUUAAGUUGGGAGGAAGGGCAGUUACCUAAUACGUGAUUGUUUUGACGUUACCGACAGAAUAAGCACCGGCUAACUCUGUGCCAGCAGCCGCGGUAAUACAGAGGGUGCAAGCGUUAAUCGGAAUUACUGGGCGUAAAGCGCGCGUAGGUGGUUUGUUAAGUUGGAUG
rnacentral:rRNA from 1 species